ACGGAGGGUGCGAGCGUUGUCCGGAAUCAUUGGGCGUAAAGGGCGCGUAGGUGGUCCGGUCAGUCUUUGGUGAAAGCGCGGGGCUCAACCCUGCGUCGGCCAGGGAUACUGCCGCGGCUGGAGCACUGUAGAGGCAGGCGGAAUUCCGGGUGUAGCGGUGGAAUGCGUAGAGAUCCGGAAGAACACCGGUGGCGAAGGCGGCCCGCUGGGCUGUGGCCGACGCUGAGGCGCGACAGCGUGGGGAGCAAACAGGA
rnacentral:rRNA from 1 species